rnacentral:rRNA from 1 species
AGAGUUUGAUCAUGGCUCAGGAUGAACGCUGGCGGUCUGCUUAACACAUGCAAGUCGAACGGAAUCCUUAGGGAUUUAGUGGCGGACGGGUGAGUAACACGUAAGAACCUGCCUCUAGGACGGGGACAACAGUUGGAAACGACUGCUAAACCCGGAUGAGCCGAAAGGUAAAAGAUUAAUCGCCUAGAGAGGGGCUUGCGUCUGAUUAGCUAGUUGGUGAGGUAAGAGCCCACCAAGGCGACGAUCAGUAGCUGGUCUGAGAGGAUGAUCAGCCACACUGGGACUGAGACACGGCCCAGACUCCUACGGGAGGCAGCAGUGGGGAAUUUUCCGCAAUGGGCGAAAGCCUGACGGAGCAAGACCGCGUGGGGGAGGAAGGUUCUUGGAUUGUCAACCCCCUUUCUCAGGGAAGAACACAAUGACGGUACCUGAGGAAAAAGCAUCGGCUAACUCCGUGCCAGCAGCCGCGGUAAUACGGGGGAUGCAAGCGUUAUCCGGAAUGAUUGGGCGUAAAGAGUCCGUAGGUAGUCAUCCAAGUCUGCUGUUAAAGAGCGAGGCUUAACUUCGUAAAGGCAGUGGAAACUGGAAGACUAGAGUGUAGUAGGGGCAGAGGGAAUUCCUGGUGUAGCGGUGAAAUGCGUAGAGAUCAGGAAGAACACCGGUGGCGAAGGCGCUCUGCUGGGCUAUAACUGACACUGAGGGACGAAAGCUAGGGGAGCGAAUGGGAUUAGAUACCCCAGUAGUCCUAGCGGUAAACGAUGGAAACUAGGUGUGGCCUGUAUCGACCCGGGCCGUGCCGAAGCAAACGCGUUAAGUUUCCCGCCUGGGGAGUACGCACGCAAGUGUGAAACUCAAAGGAAUUGACGGGGGCCCGCACAAGCGGUGGAGUAUGUGGUUUAAUUCGAUGCAACGCGAAGAACCUUACCAGGACUUGACAUCUCUGGAAUCUCCUUGAAAGGGGAGAGUGCCGUAAGGAACCAGAAGACAGGUGCUGCAUGGCUGUCGUCAGCUCGUGUCGUGAGAUGUUGGGUUAAGUCCCGCAACGAGCGCAACCCUCGUCGUUAGUUGCCAUCAUUAAGUUGGGAACUCUAGCGAGACUGCCGGUGACAAACCGGAGGAAGGUGAGGAUGACGUCAAGUCAGCAUGGCCCUUACGUCCUGGGCGACACACGUACUACAAUGCGAGGGACACAGAGCAGCCAACCCGCGAGGGAGAGCGAAUCUCACAAACCCUGGCACAGUUCAGAUUGCAGGCUGCAACUCGCCUGCAUGAAGGAGGAAUCGCUAGUAAUCGCAGGUCAGCAUACUGCGGUGAAUCCGUUCCCGGGCCUUGUACACACCGCCCGUCACACCAUGGAAGUGAGCCACGCCCGAAGUUAUUACUCUAACCCUUUCGGGGGAGGAGGGUGCCGAAGGCGGGGUUGAUGACUGGGGUGAAGUCGUAACAAGGUAACC